GAGCACAGAGCAAUCUGUGUGACUGCGUACCUUUUGUAUAAUGGGUCAGCGACUUAUAUUCUGUAGCAAGGUUAACCGAAUAGGGGAGCCGAAGGGAAACCGAGUCUUAACUGGGCGUUAAGUUGCAGGGUAUAGACCCGAAACCCGGUGAUCUAGCCAUGGGCAGGUUGAAGGUUGGGUAACACUAACUGGAGGACCGAACCGACUAAUGUUGAAAAAUUAGCGGAUGACUUGUGGCUGGGGGUGAAAGGCCAAUCAAACCGGGAGAUAGCUGGUUCUCCCCGAAAGCUAUUUAGGUAGCGCCUCGUGAAUUCAUCUCCGGGGGUAGAGCACUGUUUCGGCAAGGGGGUCAUCCCGACUUACCAACCCGAUGCAAACUGCGAAUACCGGAGAAUGUUAUCACGGGAGACACACGGCGGGUGCUAACGUCCGUCGUGAAGAGGGAAACAACCCAGACCGCCAGCUAAGGUCCCAAAGUCAUGGUUAAGUGGGAAACGAUGUGGGAAGGCCCAGACAGCCAGGAUGUUGGCUUAGAAGCAGCCAUCAUUUAAAGAAAGCGUAAUAGCUCACUGGUCGAGUCGGCCUGCGCGGAAGAUGUAACGGGGCUAAACCAUG
rnacentral:rRNA from 1 species